rnacentral:rRNA from 1 species
UACAGAGGUCCCAAGCGUUGUUCGGAUUCACUGGGCGUAAAGGGUGCGUCGGUGGUCGGGUAAGUCUGAUGUGAAAUCUCCGAGCUUAACUCGGAAACUGCAUCGGAUACUAUCUGGCUUGAGGAUCGGAGGGGAGACUGGAAUUCUCGGUGUAGCAGUGAAAUGCGUAGAUAUCGAGAGGAACACCAGUGGCGAAGGCGAGUCUCUAGACGAUUCCUGACGCUGAGGCACGAAAGCUAGGGGAGCAAACAGG